rnacentral:rRNA from 1 species
UACGUAGGGUCCGAGCGUUGUCCGGAAUUAUUGGGCGUAAAGAGCUCGUAGGCGGUUUGUCGCGUCUGCUGUGAAAUCCCGAGGCUCAACCUCGGGUCUGCAGUGGGUACGGGCAGACUGGAGUGCGGUAGGGGAGAAUGGAAUUCCUGGUGUAGCGGUGGAAUGCGCAGAUACCAGGAGGAACACCGAUGGCGAAGGCAGUUCUCUGGGCCGUAACUGACGCUGAGGAGCGAAAGCGUGGGGAGCGAACAGG